AAUAUUGCUUAGCAGUCUAUUUAAUGUACUUUAUGUUUCGCAAGACCAAGAGAUAGCAGAAAUAACUGGUAAGUUUGACAACACUACAAAAGUCUAAAAACAACGCAUUUUUUUUUACUUUGCAUUCAAAUUGCUGACUUUUCAAUCAUUUCAUUUUUUUAAAGAUAAGCUUACAUAGUCUCCAAUUGCAUUACUUAUAGCAAAUCAAAUUAAGUUGAACAGAUUCUCCAAUAUCGUUAACUUGUAAUUAGUCAACGGUGGCGGAGCCAGAAUUUCACCGAGAGGUGUCAAAAUAUAAAAAUAUAGAUAUACCGAAAAAGUUUAGGGGAGUAAACGAAUAUUAAAUAUAAAUAAAACAAAAAAAUUUAUCUAACAAUACAAUGUAAUGUUUCGGCAAAAGGAUAUCGUUUGACACCCCUUGGUUGAAUGUGGCUCGCCACCGAAUAGUCAAGUCAACCUUGAGCUUGGUUAGUGAGAACACACAGUUGGUCAAUUUUCCUUUUGCUAGUUUUGCAGUAUAAAAUAACCCUACUACUGCUACUUAUUUCAUUAAUUCAUCUAAUUAAAGGCUAAUUUCUAGCUAUUCUUCUCAUUACACCAUGGCAACCAUAACUCCUAGAUCUAUUAUAGUCAUGAUGUUUGUUUUCAUUGGUUUAGUUUUAUCUCCUGGAAUCCAAGAAGGCGUUGCUGCUCGUUCCAUUGUGUACAGAGAAGUACUUGUGACGAGACCUAUAUGUCCUGCUUGUGUGUGUUGUCAACCUCCACCACCAGGAUCUUGUUGCAGAUGUUGCCCUUCUCCUAUCAAUUCUCAGUCAAACAAUGGCACGCCUUAAUGGACAUGUUUUCCUGCAGACAGAGGCGGAUCUAAGAUUUAAACUUGAUGAGCUUAAUCUUCGAUGUUUUUAGAGUAAACUCAUUAGAAUUUUGAUAUUAUUAGUUUAUACGUGAGGCGAAAAAAAGUGUUACACAUACACUUCACUGCACGAGCUUUGGAUCAUUGGAUGCAUCAAUACUGAUCCAGGAUAAACAUAAUGUAAUAAAUUUUCGUAUGUUUUUGUCCCAAAUUUGGAAUGACCUGGUGUUUGUCCAUUUUGUAUCUUCUUGGUCAUAAUCAACAAGUUAGCUUGCUGUUAUCAAAUACCCUGAAGUAUCGUUAA